GUCACCGUCGCCGACGACGGCCCCAACCCACUCACCCUCUCAGCCUCACCGACCCAGUCUCAGUCACUCUCUCGCUCACCUACGCGGUAUCUGAAGCAAAUAGAAGAACAAAAGUAUGGCUGCUGCAAAUGCUGGACAGAUUAACCAUGCGCAGCCUGGCCCCAUUGACACGUCAGUGUUGACGUUGCAGCCCAACCAUCGAUCAGAAGCCAUUUGGAAUGGGCAGGAUCCAGGGUCCCUUAAAUGUCGUGCCCGUAGUGAAGAGUUCUCGAAUCGAGAGCCAAUGGUGGACGAUCGAGUCAUUGACAUCAUUAAGGCACUUGGUUUGGAGGGACUUCUCAGGACUCCGGGUAGAGAGAUUGAUCAUGGCCUGAUAACGGCC